GACGAACGCUGGCGGCGUGCUUAACACAUGCAAGUCGAGCGGUAAGGCCCUUUCGGGGGUACACGAGCGGCGAACGGGUGAGUAACACGUGGGUGACCUGCCCUCAGCUCUGGGAUAAGCCUAGGGAAACCGGGUCCAAAUACUGGAUAUGACUCCAUGACGCAUGUUGUGGGGUGGAAAGCCUUGUGCGGCUGAGGAUGGGCCCGCGGCCUAUCAGCUUGUUGGUGGGGUGAUGGCCUACCAAGGCGACGACGGGUAGCCGGCCUGAGAGGGCGACCGGCCACACUGGGACUGAGACACGGCCCAGACUCCUACGGGAGGCAGCAGUGGGGAAUCUUGCGCAAAUGGGCGAAAAGCCUGACGCAGCACGCCGCGUGAGGGAUGAACGGCCUGG
rnacentral:rRNA from 1 species